AAGGUAGCGAAAUUCCUUGUCGGGUAAGUUCCGACCCGCACGAAAGGCGUAACGAUUUGGGCACUGUCUCAACAACAGACUCGGUGAAAUUGUAAUUCCGGUGAAGAUGCCGGAUACCGGCGACAGGACGGAAAGACCCCAUGGAGCUUUACUGUAGCUUGACAUUGGGUCUUGGUACUACAUGUACAGGAUAGGUGGGAGGCUUUGAAACCAGGACGCCAGUUUUGGCGGAGCCAUCCUUGGGAU
rnacentral:rRNA from 1 species